GCCCUCUGACCCGGAAGUGCACGCUGUCCUCGGCACCCUGUGGUAAAACACAACGGUGAGGAAACUAACGCUAGAAUUCACCGUAAACACAAGGUUCUCCAGUUGCUGCUCCACAAAACAAGGCACAAGGUUCUGGAGUAACUGGGGGUCGGGCAGCAGCUCUGGGGGAGAUAGUUUGACGACGGUUCGGGUCGGGACACUUCCUCAAUGCCCCCCCAUCCCCAUCAUUGUCAUCCCUUCUUUCUUCAGCCUGAAUAUCAAAGCUGCCAACAUGUCAAGGGACAGCUGAUUAAAUUCAGGAUCAGUGAUGGUGUCAUGAUGGAAAACAAUUAUUCUACAAAAAAUUCAAUCAAAAAACAAAACUUGCGAAGGAUGUUGUUACUGAGAAACAGGAAUGAUUUUUCAAAAAUGAAAACUUACAAAGUAAAGACAUGUUUAUAAACAAUUCUUAAUCUUUGGGGUGAAAUAUGACAGUAAAUCAGCAUGUCAUUUGCACAUUAAUCAAUGAAAACAAAAAUCUAGUGGGGUGUAAUAUGUGAUAAUAAUUCUCUAUCGGGUUUGACAUUACUACUAAUGUUGAAUUUCACCCUCUUUCUUCCAUGAUCAAUGGUGACCUGAUUUGCCCGGUUACUUUGGGCAUCCAACAUACUAGAAAAUUCAGGUCCACACUAGAAGCAAAUUACAUUUCAAAUUACUAUUAGCAGAACUAUUUGUCCAAAGUUACCCCUAAGGUGAUAUUUGUAUUACACUAAAUUAGCUUUUCCCUCAUCCUAGAGCAACUUAGGCCUUAUGGUUGGCAAACCUCACUGACGAUUGGUUGUGCAACCUUGCAGAAAAUAAGCUUCAUAUAACUUUUUAAAAGAAUCAUUGAAUGGUACAUUCUUGUGCUUGACAGAGCAUGUGUUUAUAACUUUUUUUAAUCAAGGUGGUUGUUAGUUAUUUUACAGAAACAAUUUAAAUGCAAUAUUAAAGAAGAA